rnacentral:rRNA from 1 species
UACGGGGGGGCAAGCGUUGUUCGGAAUUACUGGGCGUAAAGGGCCAGUAGGCGGCCAACUAAGUCGGAUGUGAAAUCCCCAGGCUCAACUUGGGAACUGCAUCCGAUACUGGAUGGCUUGAAUUCGGGAGAGGGAUGCAGAAUUCCAGGUGUAGCGGUGAAAUGCGUAGAUAUCUGGAGGAAUACCGGUGGCGAAGGCGGCAUCCUGGACCGACAUUGACGCUGAACGGCGAAAGCUAGGGGA